rnacentral:tRNA from 2 species
GCGGGUGUGACGAAAUUGGGAGACGUACUAGAUUUAGGUUCUAGCGCCGCAAGGCUUGGGGGUUCAAGUCCCUCCAUCCGCACCA